UAGAUCCUGNGNUUCGGAACGGCNCCNCUGGCUUUCGGNCUGGGGNCGAGUGGCGAACGGGUGAGUAAUACAUCGGAACGUGCCCUGUCGUGGGGGAUAACUAGUCGAAAGAUUAGCUAAUACCGCAUACGACCUGAGGGUGAAAGCGGGGGACCGCAAGNCCUCGCGCGAUAGGAGCGGCCGAUGUCUGAUUAGCUAGUUGGUGGGGUAAAGGCCUACCAAGGCGACGAUCAGUAGCUGGUCUGAGAGGACGAUCAGCCACACUGGGACUGAGACACGGCCCAGACUCCUACGGGAGGCAGCA
rnacentral:rRNA from 1 species